UACGUAGGGUGCAAGCGUUGUCCGGAAUUAUUGGGCGUAAAGAGCUCGUAGGCGGUUCGUCACGUCGGCUGUGAAAACCUGAGGCUCAACCUCAGGCCUGCAGUCGAUACGGGCGGACUUGAGUACUGCAGGGGAGACUGGAAUUCCUGGUGUAGCGGUGAAAUGCGCAGAUAUCAGGAGGAACACCGAUGGCGAAGGCAGGUCUCUGGGCUGACACUGACGCUCAUGCACGAAAGCGUGGGGAGCAAACAGG
rnacentral:rRNA from 1 species